rnacentral:tRNA from 1 species
GCCGACUAGGUCACUUGUGGUUGAUCUUCACUCGUAAUGAAUAGGUCAUCGGUUCGAUUCCGAUAGGCGGCU